AUAAUAUAAAAUAAUAUAUUUGACUUCCAAUCAAAAACUCUAAUAAUUAGUAUA
rnacentral:tRNA from 1 species